GAUGAACGCUGGCGGCGUGCUUAACACAUGCAAGUCGAACGGUGAACGAGGGAGCUUGCUCCCUCCGGAUCAGUGGCGAACGGGUGAGUAACACGUGAGCAAUCUGCCCUGGACUCUGGGAUAAGCGUUGGAAACGACGUCUAAUACCGGAUACGAGGCGUGGGGGCAUCCCCAACGCCUGGAAAGAACUUCGGUCCAGGAUGAGCUCGCGGCCUAUCAGCUGGUUGGUGAGGUAACGGCUCACCAAGGCGACGACGGUUAGCCGGCCUGAGAGGGUGACCGGCCACACUGGGACUGAGACACGGCGCCGACUCCUACGGGAGGCAGCAGUGGGGAAUAUUGCACAAUGGGCGCAAGCCUGAUGCAGCAACGCCGCGUGGGGGACUACGGCCUUCGGGUUGUAAACCUCUUUUAGCAGGGAAGAAGCGAAAGUGACGGUACCUGCAGAAAAAGCACCGGCUAACUACGUGCCAGCCGCCGCGGUAAGAC
rnacentral:rRNA from 1 species